GGUCAAGUGAAGAAGCGCAUACGGUGGAUGCCUUGGCAGUCAGAGGCGAUGAAAGACGUGGUAGCCUGCGAAAAGCUUCGGGGAGUCGGCAAACAGACUUUGAUCCGGAGAUCUCUGAAUGGGGGAACCCACCUAGGAUAACCUAGGUAUCUUGUACUGAAUCCAUAGGUGCAAGAGGCGAACCAGGGGAACUGAAACAUCUAAGUACCCUGAGGAAAAGAAAUCAACCGAGAUUCCCUUAGUAGUGGCGAGCGAACGGGGAUUAGCCCUUAAGCUUCAUUGAUUUUAGCGGAACGCUCUGGAAAGUGCGGCCAUAGUGGGUGAUAGCCCCGUACGCGAAAGGAUCUUUGAAGUGAAAUCGAGUAGGACGGAGCACGAGAAACUUUGUCUGAACAUGGGGGGACCAUCCUCCAAGGCUAAAUACUACUGACUGACCGAUAGUGAACCAGUACCGUGAGGGAAAGGCGAAAAGAACCCCGGAGAGGGGAGUGAAAUAGAACCUGAAACCGUAUGCGUACAAGCAGUGGGAGCCUACUUGUUAGGUGACUGCGUACCUUUUGUAUAAUGGGUCAGCGACUUAUAUUCAGUGGCAAGCUUAACCGUAUAGGGUAGGCGUAGCGAAAGCGAGUCUUAAUAGGGCGUUUAGUCGCUGGGUAUAGACCCGAAACCGGGCGAUCUAUCCAUGAGCAGGUUGAAGGUUAGGUAACACUGACUGGAGGACCGAACCCACUCCCGUUGAAAAGGUAGGGGAUGACUUGUGGAUCGGAGUGAAAGGCUAAUCAAGCUCGGAGAUAGCUGGUUCUCCUCGAAAGCUAUUUAGGUAGCGCCUCAUGUAUCACUCUGGGGGGUAGAGCACUGUUUCGGCUAGGGGGUCAUCCCGACUUACCAAACCGAUGCAAACUCCGAAUACCCAGAAGUGCCGAGCAUGGGAGACACACGGCGGGUGCUAACGUCCGUCGUGAAAAGGGAAACAACCCAGACCGCCAGCUAAGGUCCCAAAGUUGUGGUUAAGUGGUAAACGAUGUGGGAAGGCUUAGACAGCUAGGAGGUUGGCUUAGAAGCAGCCAUCCUUUAAAGAAAGCGUAAUAGCUCACUAGUCGAGUCGGCCUGCGCGGAAGAUGUAACGGGGCUCAAACCACACACCGAAGCUGCGGGUGUCACGUAAGUGACGCGGUAGAGGAGCGUUCUGUAAGCCUGUGAAGGUGAGUUGAGAAGCUUGCUGGAGGUAUCAGAAGUGCGAAUGCUGACAUGAGUAACGACAAUGGGUGUGAAAAACACCCACGCCGAAAGACCAAGGGUUCCUGCGCAACGUUAAUCGACGCAGGGUUAGUCGGUUCCUAAGGCGAGGCUGAAAAGCGUAGUCGAUGGGAAACAGGUUAAUAUUCCUGUACUUCUGGUUACUGCGAUGGAGGGACGGAGAAGGCUAGGCCAGCUUGGCGUUGGUUGUCCAAGUUUAAGGUGGUAGGCUGAAAUCUUAGGUAAAUCCGGGGUUUCAAGGCCGAGAGCUGAUGACGAGUCGUCUUUUAGAUGACGAAGUGGUUGAUGCCAUGCUUCCAAGAAAAGCUUCUAAGCUUCAGGUAACCAGGAACCGUACCCCAAACCGACACAGGUGGUCGGGUAGAGAAUACCAAGGCGCUUGAGAGAACUCGGGUGAAGGAACUAGGCAAAAUGGCACCGUAACUUCGGGAGAAGGUGCGCCGGCUAGGGUGAAGGAUUUACUCCGUAAGCUCUGGCUGGUCGAAGAUACCAGGCCGCUGCGACUGUUUAUUAAAAACACAGCACUCUGCAAACACGAAAGUGGACGUAUAGGGUGUGACGCCUGCCCGGUGCCGGAAGGUUAAUUGAUGGGGUUAGCGCAAGCGAAGCUCUUGAUCGAAGCCCCGGUAAACGGCGGCCGUAACUAUAACGGUCCUAAGGUAGCGAAAUUCCUUGUCGGGUAAGUUCCGACCUGCACGAAUGGCGUAACGAUGGCGGCGCUGUCUCCACCCGAGACUCAGUGAAAUUGAAAUCGCUGUGAAGAUGCAGUGUAUCCGCGGCUAGACGGAAAGACCCCGUGAACCUUUACUGUAGCUUUGCACUGGACUUUGAGCCUGCUUGUGUAGGAUAGGUGGGAGGCUUUGAAGCGUGGACGCCAGUUCGCGUGGAGCCAUCCUUGAAAUACCACCCUGGCAUGCUUGAGGUUCUAACUCUGGUCCGUGAUCCGGAUCGAGGACAGUGUAUGGUGGGCAGUUUGACUGGGGCGGUCUCCUCCUAAAGAGUAACGGAGGAGUACGAAGGUGCGCUCAGACCGGUCGGAAAUCGGUCG
rnacentral:rRNA from 1 species